AGCGAACGCUGGCGGCAGGCUUAACACAUGCAAGUCGAACGCCCCGCAAGGGGAGUGGCAGACGGGUGAGUAACACGUGGGAACGUACCCUUUGGUUCGGAAUAACUUGGGGAAACUCAAGCUAAUACCGGAUAAGCCCUUAUGGGGAAAGGUUUACUGCCGAAGGAUCGGCCCGCGUCUGAUUAGCUAGUUGGUGAGGUAAUGGCUCACCAAGGCGACGAUCAGUAGCUGGUCUGAGAGGAUGAUCAGCCACACUGGGACUGAGACACGGCCCAGACUCCUACGGGAGGCAGCAGUGGGGAAUAUUGGACAAUGGGGGCAACCCUGAUCCAGCCAUGCCGCGUGAGUGAUGAAGGCCUUAGGGUUGUAAAGCUCUUUUACCCGGGACGAUAAUGACGGUACCCUGCGAAUAAGCCACGGCUAACUACGUGCCAGCCGCCGCGGUAA
rnacentral:rRNA from 1 species